rnacentral:sRNA from 1 species
UGCAUCUGUAGCCCAUGAGGAUGAGAACCUCCGGGGGCAGGGAGGUUCGACUCGAGCGAAGCGAGAGAACGUUGCGCCAGCAACGGCCCGCAGGGCGAGCCACGAAGUGGCGAGUAAUCCUCUAUCACCGACCA